UACUAUUUUUUGGUCUGUCCUGUGGAAACAGCUUGCAAUCCUCACAAGAACCUCGUAAUGUGAAUAUGCCAGCGUGUUGCUACAGACCGUGCUUACUUCAGCCAAUUUCUCUGCUGAAUAUCCUCCUUUUACUGAUGAGGAAACCAAGUCAAGAAGUCAUAAAUGACACACCCAAGGCUGGGAAGUGGUUGAGCAGCACCAAUUUCAGAGGAUGAUGUCAUUGGACAACGACUCCAUAAUACAUGCCAGUUAUAGUAGCAUCCCCACAGAUCCAAGCUUAACUGUUCUCAAACUGUCAAUCAAGCAACGUACAG
rnacentral:lncRNA from 10 species